GACGAACGCUGGCGGCGUGCUUAACACAUGCAAGUCGAACGAAAAGAGGGAAAGAGCUUGCUCUUUCCGGAAUUGAGUGGCAAACGGGUGAGUAACACGUAAACAACCUGCCUUCAGGAUGGGGACAACAGACGGAAACGACUGCUAAUACCGAAUAAGUUCCAAGGGCCGCAUGGCCCAUGGAAGAAAAGGUGGCCUCUACCUGUAAGCUAUCGCCUGAAGAGGGGUUUGCGUCUGAUUAGCUGGUUGGAGGGGUAACAGCCCACCAAGGCGACGAUCAGUAGCCGGUCUGAGAGGAUGAACGGCCACACUGGAACUGAGACACGGUCCAGACUCCUACGGGAGGCAGCAGUGGGGAAUCUUCCGCAAUGGGCGAAAGCCUGACGGAGCAACGCCGCGUGAGUGAUGACGGCCUUCGGGUUGUAAAACUCUGUGAUCCGGCACGAAAAGGCAGAGUGCGAAGAACAAACUGCAUUGACGGUACCGGAAAAGCAAGCCACGGCUAACUACGUG
rnacentral:rRNA from 1 species